rnacentral:rRNA from 1 species
GGUCCCUAUCCGUCGCGGGCGUAGGAAAUUUGAGAGGAUCUGCUCCUAGUACGAGAGGACCAGAGUGGACUUACCGCUGGUGUACCAGUUGUCUUGCCAAAGGCAUCGCUGGGUAGCUAUGUAGGGAAGGGAUAAACGCUGAAAGCAUCUAAGUGUGAAACCCACCUCAAGAUGAGAUUUCCCAUGAUUAUAUAUCAGUAAGAGCCCUGAGAGAUGAUCAGGUAGAUAGGUUAGAAGUGGAAGUGUGGCGACACAUGUAGCGGACUAAUACUAAUAGCUCGAGGACUUAUCCAAA